UACGUAGGUGGCGAGCGUUGUCCGGAUUUAUUGGGUUUAAAGGGUGCGUAGGCGGCCCUGUAAGUCAGUGCUGAAAUAUCCCGGCUUAACUGGGAGGGUGGCAUUGAUACUGUGGGGCUAGAGUACAGAUGAGGUAGGCGGAAUUGACGGUGUAGCGGUGAAAUGCUUAGAUAUCGUCAAGAACACCUAUAGCGAAGGCAGCUUACUAGGCUGUAACUGACGCUGAGGCACGAAAGUGUGGGGAUCAAACAGG
rnacentral:rRNA from 1 species